rnacentral:rRNA from 1 species
UAGGGAAUCUUCCACAAUGGACGCAAGUCUGAUGGAGCAACGCCGCGUGAGUGAAGAAGGUUUUCGGAUCGUAAAGCUCUGUUGUUGGUGAAGAAGGAUAGAGGUAGUAACUGGCCUUUAUUUGACGGUAAUCAACCAGAAAGUCACGGCUAACUACGUGCCAGCAGCCGCGGUAAUACGUAGGUGGCAAGCGUUGUCCGGAUUUAUUGGGCGUAAAGCGAGCGCAGGCGGAAGGAUAAGUCUGAUGUGAAAGCCCUCGGCUUAACCGAGGAACUGCAUCGGAAACUGUUUUUCUUGAUUGCAGAAGAGGAGAGUGGAACUCCAUGUGUAGCAGUGGAAUGCGUAGAUAUGUGGAAGAACACCAGUGGCGAAGGAGACUCUCUGGUCUGCAACUAACGCUGAGGCUCGAAAGCAUGGGUAGCGAACAGG